rnacentral:rRNA from 1 species
GACGAACGCUGGCGGCGUGCUUAACACAUGCAAGUCGAGCGGUAAGGCCCUUUCGGGGGUACGACGAGCGGCGAACGGGUGAGUAACACGUGGGUGACCUGCCUUUAGCUCUGGGAUAAGCCUGGGAAACUGGGUCUAAUACCGGAUAUGACUCCGCGGUGCAUGCUGUGGGGUGGAAAGCCUUGUGCGGCUGGAGAUGGGCCCGCGGCCUAUCAGCUUGUUGGUGGGGUGAUGGCCUACCAAGGCGACGACGGGUAGCCGGCCUGAGAGGGCGACCGGCCACACUGGGACUGAGACACGGGCCCAGACUCCUACGGGAGGCAGCAGUGGGGAAUCUUGCGCAAUGGGCGAAAGCCUGACGCAGCGACGCCGCGUGAGGGAUGACGGCCUGGU